rnacentral:piRNA from 1 species
UGUGUUCUCUUUCAUUCAGAGGAUGGU